rnacentral:rRNA from 1 species
UGGGGAAUAUUGCACAAUGGGGGAAACCCUGAUGCAGCGACGCCGCGUGAGUGAAGAAGUAUUUCGGUAUGUAAAGCUCUAUCAGCAGGGAAGAUAAUGACAGUACCUGACUAAGAAGCCCCGGCUAACUACGUGCCAGCAGCCGCGGUAAUACGUAGGGGGCAAGCGUUAUCCGGAUUUACUGGGUGUAAAGGGAGCGUAGACGGAGUGGCAAGUCUGAAGUGAAAACCCUGGGCUUAACCUGGGGACUGCUUUGGAAACUGUUAAUCUAGAGUGUUGGAGAGGUAAGUGGAAUUCCUGGUGUAGCGGUGAAAUGCGUAGAUAUCAGGAAGAACACCGGAGGCGAAGGCGGCUUACUGGACAAUAACUGACGUUGAGGCUCGAAAGCGUGGGGAUCAAACAGGAUUAGAUACCCUGGUAGUCCACGCUGUAAACGAUGAAUACUAGGUGUCGGGGUGCAAAGCAUCUCGGUGCCGUCGCUAACGCAAUAAGUAUUCCACCUGGGGAGUACGUUCGCAAGAAUG